AGGUUAUUAGCAAACUCGGUACUUUAUUUUUUUAAAGCAUUUAAAAAUUAUUCCUUUGAAUGCUGGGUUUCUAAGCUGUGAAAUGUGUCAACAUUUACAGGGUCUUUCUGUUGAGUACAUAGACAAGAACAUAGUUAACCCUCUUCCUUGAGCUACGAGCUUGGACAAAUUCUUAACCUCUCUGUAUCUCUGUUGUUUCAUCUGCUUAAUAGGCAUCUUAAUAAUAUCUGUUUACCUAACUGUAUUAGUCAGUUGUUGUUCAAGAGUGCUGCAUAACAAACAUUCCCAAAAUGCAGUGGCUCCGAGCUACAAGUAUUUAUUUCUUACUUACAGGUUUGCAGGUUCCUGUGGUUCUGCUGGGGUUGGAUAGGAUCAGCUGCAUCUCCUUCUAAGCUGUGGAUUGGAUUUAGGCCUGCUCUCCACAUCUCUCAUUCUCUUUGGGUCAGCAGCUCCCUGGGACGUGUUCUUCUGAAGAGAGCUCAUGGAUGCUGUGCCCUCCGUGUCACCACGCCAUUUUUCAGCUAGUGCUAAUUCAGAAGGAAGCUUAAAAAGUGAGAUCUUAGGGAGCUCCGAAUUAGGACGAAUGAAGUAGAGCUCUCUCGUGGAAACAUCUCCACUCUCUGGACUGCCCUCUCCCACCUCCGAAGCUCCUUGGACUCUCCUGAUCCCGGGGCCCCAGACUACCUGCAGACGAUGGUCUCUGAGGCCCUCCCAGCUUGCUGUGUGUGACUCCUGAAGCUGGGGCCCUCAUCCAAGGGGAUCACACCCUCAGAGGCAGCUGAUCCGGUGGAGAGGAACAGUGCAGGAGCGGGUGGUGAGGACGGGG
rnacentral:lncRNA from 1 species